UACGUUCCCGGGCCUUGUACACACCGCCCGUCACACCACGAAAAGUGGGUAACACCCGAAGCCGGUGGCCCAACCGCAAGGAGGGAGCCGUCGAAGGUGGGAUCCGCGAUUGGGGUG
rnacentral:rRNA from 1 species